CAGUUGAGAGCAGAAAGAUAAUAGAAAAGAUGAGGUGGAUCACUAUGCACUUAGGCCCAAUGUGCACAACACAGGCCCAGCCCACCCUAGCACCUUCUCCUAUCUCUGUUCACAAGGGCGUGCUGGACGAACAACACUCGUCCAUUGCUCAGAUGGCCGCGUGCCGAGCAUCCGCCGUCUCCCCCACGAGGAUAAGGAUGCCACCCGAUUCCCCUCUGCCCAUGGACGAACCCUAGCCCCCCACUUCCCCCUUUCCCUCGCUCUCUCUCUUCUCCUCGCGUGAAACCGCUGCUGCCGUCGCCAUGGCCGCGACCACCGUGCUCCCCGCGCCGCGAGAAGACGCCCAGAAGGACUGCCACGGUCCACUUCGUCCAUCCCGAGGACCGAAUCGAGCGGGGAAGGCCCGUACACUCGCCAUCGCCACCAUCUUCAUCUUGUACAUCGCCGCGGCCUCGACGUCGAUCCGCAUCACCUCGUCCAUCCCGGCCUCGUACGAGCUCACCACCGACCUCCUCUCGAUGACGGAGUCCAGGAGCCAGAUGAGACCUUUGACUACUGCUACUACACCGAGGGCGUCUACUACCACGUGACGAAGACCGCCGAUGACCAGGAGUAGUUAGGAGGCUCCCAGGCAGGAGGCCUUGCCUUUUCGAUCGUAGAUGCUUUUGUGCUAGCCUUCUUAAGGCAAACUUGUUUAACUUAUGUCUGUACUCAGAUAUUGUUGCUUCCGCUGACUCGUUUGUAUUCAAGCUGAUGUAUUCGAGCCCUCGAGGCCCCUGGCUUGUAAUAUAAAGCUUGUAUUAUUUUAAUUUGUGUCUA